rnacentral:rRNA from 1 species
UACGGGGGGGGCAAGCGUUGUUCAGAAUUACUGGGCGUAAAGGCUCGUAGGUGGCCAACUAAGUCGGACGUGAAAUCCCUCAGCUUAACUGGGGAACUGCGUCCGAUACUGGAUGGCUUGAGUUUGGGAGAGGGAUGCGGAAUUCCAGGUGUAGCGGUGAAAUGCGUAGAUAUCUGGAGGAACACCGGUGGCGAAGGCGGCAUCCUGGACCAACACUGACACUGAGGAGCGAAAGCCAGGGGAGCAAACGGG